ACUCAACACUAACAAAUUAGAAUGAGCAAAUCAUCGUGACUAUAGCAAGCCUUUAAGUAGGAAGCUUGAAAAACGAGUUAGCUCAAAACUUGUCUAUACGAGUUU
rnacentral:sRNA from 1 species